GUUUUCGAUUGAAGAAACUGGUGUAGUUUUCUGCACUGAAAUUGCACUUUUCUUGCAGAAGUGUUGUCAAAACACCGACACCAUGUUCCAUUGAUAGGAACUGCAAUAAAAAAGUGCAAUUCCAGUGCAAUUUCGGGGCAGAGAUUUGGCACCGAAAAUUUUGUCGGUGGAGCCAGUGCACUCACUAAUACCAUCAAACAAAACGUCAAAUCAAGACAAAAUGGCAGCCUGAAAAAUAUUCUAUCAACAUCCAAGAUUAAUUAUUUCAAAAUGCUACAUCGAAUCUUUGCUGGAGUUGUCGAUAAACCCGUUAUAAGGGUGUCAGCUCCAGAAGAAUAUACGAAAAAUCUGUUCUGUCGGAUAAAAUACCGUAAUGCAAGUCGAUCGGAUCAAAUCAGAUGUGAUCUUUGUGGCUAAUGUUACAAGAAGCUAGCUGGAAGCAUCAACUAACAUUUUAUGUGAGUAGCGCCGCCACCAGUUGGUGGAUUACACUGUCGAAGUAUGUUGGUUGGGGACCUUUGGAUGGAACCACUUUUCAUCGUUACGUUGUGGAAGAUGAAGACCAUGUCACUUCCAUCAAACCAAAAGGGAUUCUUAUGUACUGCUUUAUGGACAACUCAGUGCAUUAACUAAUUUGAUUGGUAAUACCAAAGGAAAUCAGUGUCAACUAAUCAGGGCAAACGAUCAACACAGUGUGAAAGAAUUGAAGAAAAAUAUUCUAUUGUAAUUUGUAAAAGGACAAUCGACGCGGCGAGUGUUUCGCUUGGAAUAAAUUUGAAAGUGAAUUCUGUGCGGCAAGGUCGAUAAGCAAGCUAAGCAGUUUAGGCCAACUAAGUUUGAAGAUUCGCCGGAUAUUAUCAGCAAGUAGUUUUAGCUAGAUCAGAAGAAACAGUUUCGGUGACGGUUUUUCCUAUAUCUAUUAUUAGGAGUAUGAAUGAAAUACUACACCUUGGUAAAGUAUGGUGCGAUUUAGAUUUAUAAUCAUUCGACGAUGGAAUAACUGUGAAUUGCUAAGUAUUACACUAAUGAGUUUCUUGGUUGCUCAACAGAAGGGCCCCAUUCUCACAGUGACUGUGGCCUAGUGACUAGAAGAAAAUUUUCUUCUAGGCACUAAAGGGCCGCUUUUUU